rnacentral:lncRNA from 1 species
UUUUUCAGUACUUUUUCAACUAGUUCUUUUGAGGUUUCUAGUGCAGUCAAAAAUAAGUAUUCAUUAAUCAGGAUAUUGAAGAUUUUAGUGGUCAGCUUGUAUGUAUGUUUUUGUUUCAUUUAACGAAGUAGCUGUUACUGGGGGAUUCAGCUGAUGUCGGACUUUAUUAUUUUUGCAAGAAAGAUAACUGAUCUCAUUUGAAGCGGGCAUGCUGCAUAGAGCACUCUGACAGCAGCAGUGAUGAUCUUCCCCAGGUUCGCUCAGCACUUGUGGCAAAAUCUCUCCGCUUCACAAGGACUCCACCAGGAAAAUGGAUGCUGCUGGGGCAGCAGCCUGUCAAGGUGGUGCACAAAACGGAGGAGGAGGUACUCCUCUGUUUGGGUGCCUUCCAGACACGCAGCCUCCUGCGUCCUCUCCCUCACUGAGUUUGGUAACGUAUGUUCCCGGCUGUGUCAAAAAGCUGUAAUUCAGUGAGCAGGGUUGGUGUGCUGCUUCUGAGGAUUUCGUACAGGUGAGAGAACGGCUUUCCUGAAGGGCAGGGCUGUGGGGGCAGCCCUUGGGAAUUGCCCAGUGCCUCACGCUGAGGAGGGUAAAUCACCCCCUGAGCUUACGCACCUAUGGCACCGUCUGUCCUGCGCGCUUCACUGGUUGGAAAGGUGUUUUACAUGGUUUCUCCUAAGUAAUGUAUUACAUCAGCUGCUCUCGGGCAUAUAUACUACAGAUAAAACCAGUCAAAUGUUUAUGCUCUGCGGAGGUUCUCCUCCUUAAAACAAACAAAAAACCCAUGAAGGCCCAUGACCCGUGAUGCCCUUCUGUGGGUUGCAGUGUAGCUGCAGUGUAGGUCAGGAUGGACAAAAUCUGCCCUGUUUCUGUGAAAAGCCAUUCUCUCCAAACCAGCAUGGUGGUUUGGCAUCAUUUUACUAACAAAAGCACAAUGAAGUUGCCUCUGAUUUUAGCACACCCUAAGUCCUUCCCACUGAAUUAACUUGUUGAAAAAUAACUCUGAUGCCAGGACAGACUGAUCAGAAGUCUAAAUGUAUCUGGCUUUCCUUCAGCAGAUACAUCUAAUUCCAAUAAUAUUUUAUGUCACGGCUCUUUUUUUUUUUUGAACUGAUGGUGUGUCACUCACUGUUGACACUUCAUUC